rnacentral:rRNA from 1 species
UGCGCAGGCGGCCGUGUGUGUGAGGCGUGAAAGCCCGGAGCUCAACUCCGGAAUGGCACCUCAAACUACACGGCUAGAGCAUUGGAGAGGGUAGCAGAAUUCACGGUGUAGCAGUGAAAUGCGUAGAUAUCGUGAGGAAUACCAGAGGCGAAGGCGGCUACCUGGACAAUUGCUGACGCUCAGGCACGAAAGCGUGGGGAGCAAAAGGGAUUAGAUACCCCUGUAGUCCACGCCCUAAACGGUGCGCACUAGGUCUUGGAGGAUUCGACCCCUUCAGGGCCCAAGCUAACGCGUUAAGUGCGCCGCCUGAGGACUACGGCCGCAAGGCUAAAA